rnacentral:sRNA from 1 species
GGUUAGAUCGGGAUACUCAUCAAAUUAUUUCGAAAACCGGGAUUACCUCUUUUGUCAAUGGCGGGCCACAUCCGUAAGGAGAGCAGCAUUGCCGGUGGAUUACAAAGACAUAGAGCCCCCAAAUCAUCUGAAAACGGAGUUUUCAUCACAUCACCGGUACGACCUUUC